UACGUAGGGGGCAAGCGUUGUCCGGAUUCAUUGGGCGUAAGGAGCGUGUAGGCGGCCAGGUAGGUCGGUUGUGAAAACUGGAGGCUCAACCUUCAGAGGGCGACCGAAACCAUCUGGCUAGAGUCCGGGAGAGGAGACUGGAAUUCCUGGUGUAGCGGUGAAAUGCGCAGAUAUCAGGAGGAACACCGGUGGCGAAGGCGGGUCUCUGGGCCGAUACUGACGCUGAGGAGCGAAAGCGUGGGGAGCGAACAGG
rnacentral:rRNA from 1 species